rnacentral:rRNA from 1 species
GAUGAACGCUGGCGGCGUGCCUAACACAUGCAAGUCGAACGAGGCAAAUGAGAUGAAGUUUUCGGAUGGAUUCUUAUUUACCGAGUGGCGGACGGGUGAGUAACGCGUGGGUAACCUGCCUCAUACAGGGGGAUAACGAUUGGAAACGAUUGCUAAUACCGCAUAAGCGCACAGUACCACAUGGUACAGUGUGAAAAACUCCGGUGGUAUGAGAUGGACCCGCGUCUGAUUAGCUAGUUGGUGAGGUAACGGCCCACCAAGGCGACGAUCAGUAGCCGGCCUGAGAGGGUGAACGGCCACAUUGGGACUGAGACACGGCCCA